CGUCUUAUAAAGGACUCCCUUCCCUCCCUGCAAGUAAAAAGAAUGUGUAAUUUAUUUCACAGAAUGAUUUAGACUGGGGAAGGGAUCCCUGGAUGUCAUCUGGUCCAACCCCAUUGUUCAAGCAGGGAUACCUAGAACAGGUUGUUGAGAUGGAUUCUGAAGAUCUCCAAAGAAUGAGUCUCUAGCACCAAUGGGCAACCUAUACUGGUGCUCCGUCACCCACACAGCACAGAAGUGCUUCCUGCUGUUUAGACAGUAUUUAUAGACACUGAUGGGAUCUCCCCUGAACCUUCUCUUCUCCAGGCUGAACAAUCCCAGCUCUCUCAACCUCUUCUCGCAGGAGAGGUGCUCCAUUGAUAAUCUUGGUGGCCCUACAUUGGAUUAUCUCCAGUAUGUCCACAUUGCUCUUGUACUGGGGGCCCAUCACUGGAUGCAGCACUCAAAGUGUGGCCUCACCAAAGCUGAGCAGAGGGGGAAGAAUCACCUGUCCUGACCUGCUGACAAUACUAUGCCUAAUGCAGCCAAGAAUACUUUAAGCCUCCUUAGCAGCAUGGGCACAUUGCUGCUCAUGUCCAGCUUGGUGUCCACCAGGACCCCAGGUCCUUUUCUGCUGCUUUCCAGCUGGGUGACCACCAGCAUGCCCUGGUGCCUGGAGUUCCUUCUCAGGUGCAGGACUCUGUGCUUCUUGUUGAACUUCAUGAGAUUUUUGUCAGCACACUUCUCCAGCUUGUCAAGGUCCUUCUGGACAAUGGAAUGGCCUUCUGGUGAGUCAGCCACUCCUGCCAGUUUUGUGCUCUCUGCAAAUUUACCGAGGGUGUCUUCUACCUCAUCAUUCAGAUCAUUAAUGAAGAUGUU